rnacentral:tRNA from 1 species
GCGCCCGUAGCUCAGGUGGAUAGAGCAUCGGUCUUCUAAACCGAGGGUCGCUGGUUCGAAUCCAGCCGGGCGCGCCA